ACUCUUUUAGUAUAACCAGUACAGUUGACUUCCAAUCAACCAGUUUUGACCACAUUCAAAAAAGAGUA
rnacentral:tRNA from 1 species